UACGGGGGGGGCAAGCGUUGUUCGGAAUUACUGGGCGUAAAGGGCUCGUAGGUGGCCAACUAAGUCAGACGUGAAAUCCCUCGGCUUAACCGGGGAACUGCGUCUGAUACUGGAUGGCUUGAGUUCGGGAGAGGGAUGCGGAAUUCCAGGUGUAGCGGUGAAAUGCGUAGAUAUGCGGAGGAACACCGAUGGCGAAGGCAAUCCCCUGGGCCUGUACUGACGCUCAUGCACGAAAGCGUGGGGAGCAAACAGGA
rnacentral:rRNA from 1 species